rnacentral:rRNA from 1 species
AAUCAGGUAGGACUACCCGCUGAACUUAAGCAUAUCAAUAAGCGGAGGAAAAGAAACCAACAGGGAUUGCCUCAGUAACGGCGAGUGAAGCGGCAAAAGCUCAAAUUUGGAAUCUCAGUCUUUCAGGCUGCGAGUUGUAAUUUGAAGACGUAUUUUGAAGUAAGCACAUGUCGAAGUUCCUUGGAACAGGACGUCACAGAGGGUGAGAAUCCCGUGCGAUGUGUUCACUGCUUCAUGUAAAAUGCAGUCGAAGAGUCGAGUUGUUUGGGAAUGCAGCUCUAAGUGGGUGGUAAAUUCCAUCUAAAGCUAAAUAUUGGCGAGAGACCGAUAGCGAACAAGUACAGUGAUGGAAAGAUGAAAAGAACUUUGAAAAGAGAGUGAAAAAGUACGUGAAAUUGUUGAAAGGGAAGGGCUUGAGAUCAGACUCGGGCAACCGGGCCAGCAUGGGGUGGGGGAGUAGGAUAACCCUGCAGGAAAGUGGCUUCGCUUCGGUGGAGUGUUAUAGCCUGUAGCUAUACUGCUACCCUCGCCCGAGGACUGCGGAAA